AAUGGGAGAGCAAACUCUCUCCACUUUUUUUCUGUUCCCUGAUCUCUUCACUCACUGCUGACACGGAUGAGGUGCUGCAGAGCAUCCAGAAAGGCCGUUGGAUUGUCAUUGGUGAUGCCAUCGAACAGCGGAGUGAUGUCGCCAAAAGCCUCUGAAAAUCGUCUUCCAGCCUGUUGUCUCGCCUCUUCUGUGGUGAAAGGGUCGACUCCAAAACCUGAGACCCUGGUCAGGGAAGAGCCUCUCUCUGCAUUGUACCAGUCUGCUGCAACAGAGGCACAAGGCAGCAGGUUCUCAGGAACCUGGACUGGACAGCCACCUGAGGCCAGAACAUUGGGGAUCCCUCUUCCUGCAUUGGUUCGUGGAAACAGUCCC